rnacentral:miRNA from 1 species
UCCAUGUCUAAUUCUUCUUGUU